AUGGCUCCGAUUUGGGGUAGGUUGUGGGGUGGGGACCUCGGUGACUUGUCCUCUUGUCCCCUGGCCGCUGCUGCUGACCUGCGCCUCAGGGCGAGCGUGGAGAGAAAGGUGACGAAGGCACCCCGGGUGAAGCAGGCCUGCCUGGCAAACCCGGAGACAGGGGCCCGCGGGGGCUGCCCGGGUACCGCGGCCCCCCCGGGGAGAAGGGCGACCUCGGAGACCCAGGGCCUGAAGGCAGAAACGGCGCCCCAGGAGCACCAGGGAACAAGGGUGACCGCGGAGAGCCGGGACCUCCUGGACCCCCGGGACGAGCAGUGGAUGCGGGGCUCGGAGGAGCAGGGGAGAAGGGCGAGAAGGGGGACCCCGGGGACCCCGGCGAGGACGGUGCGAAGGGUGCCAGGGGUGACCCCGGCCCCCCCGGCCUGCCAGGAGAGAGGGGCAUCGAGGGCCCCCGCGGCCCCCCUGGCACACGGGUGA
rnacentral:lncRNA from 1 species